rnacentral:rRNA from 1 species
UACGGAGGGGGCUAGCGUUAUUCGGAAUUAUUGGGCGUAAAGGGCGUGUAGGCGGCUUCGUAAGUCUUGUGUGAAAGCCCUCGGCUCAACCGAGGAAUUGCACGAGAAACUGCGUGGCUCGAGUCCGGGAGAGGAUAGUGGAAUUCCCAGUGUAGCGGUGAAAUGCGUAGAUAUCGAGAGGAACACCUGCGGCGAAGGCGGGUUGCUGGGCUGCAACUGACACUGAGAAACGAAAGCCAGGGGAGCAAACGGG